UGCAGUCGAACGGUGAACACGGAGCUUGCUCUGUGGGAUCAGUGGCGAACGGGUGAGUAACACGUGAGCAACCUGCCCCUGACUCUGGGAUAAGCGCUGGAAACGGCGUCUAAUACUGGAUAUGUGACGUGACCGCAUGGUCUGCGUUUGGAAAGAUUUUUCGGUUGGGGAUGGGCUCGCGGCCUAUCAGCUUGUUGGUGAGGUAAUGGCUCACCAAGGCGUCGACGGGUAGCCGGCCUGAGAGGGUGACCGGCCACACUGGGACUGAGACACGGCCCAGACUCCUACGGGAGGCAGCAGUGGGGAAUAUUGCACAAUGGGCGCAAGCCUGAUGCAGCAACGCCGCGUGAGGGAUGACGGCCUUCGGGUUGUAAACCUCUUUUAGCAGGGAAGAAGCGAAAGUGACGGUACCUGCAGAAAAAGCGCCGGCUAACUACGUGCCAGCAGCCGCGGUAAUACGUAGGGCGCAAGCGUUAUCCGGAAUUAUUGGGCGUAAAGAGCUCGUAGGCGGUUUGUCGCGUCUGCUGUGAAAUCCCGAGGCUCAACCUCGGGCCUGCAGUGGGUACGGGCAGACUAGAGUGCGGUAGGGGAGAUUGGAAUUCCUGGUGUAGCGGUGGAAUGCGCAGAUAUCAGGAGGAACACCGAUGGCGAAGGCAGAUCUCUGGGCCGUAACUGACGCUGAGGAGCGAAAGGGUGGGGAGCAAACAGGCUUAGAUACCCUGGUAGUCCACCCCGUAAACGUUGGGAACUAGUUGUGGGGUCCAUUCCACGGAUUCCGUGACGCAGCUAACGCAUUAAGUUCCCCGCCUGGGGAGUACGGCCGCAAGGCUAAAACUCAAAGGAAUUGACGGGGACCCGCACAAGCGGCGGAGCAUGCGGAUUAAUUCGAUGCAACGCGAAGAACCUUACCAAGGCUUGACAUAUACGAGAACGGGCCAGAAUGGUCAACUCUUUGGG
rnacentral:rRNA from 1 species